rnacentral:rRNA from 1 species
UACGUAGGGGGCAAGCGUUGUCCGGAAUCAUUGGGCGUAAAGCGCGCGUAGGCGGCCCGGUAAGUCCGUUGUAAAAGUCGAAGGCUCAACCUUCGAAAGCCGAUGGAUACUGCCGGGCUAGAGUCCGGAAGAGGCGAGUGGAAUUCCUGGUGUAGCGGUGAAAUGCGCAGAUAUCAGGAGGAACACCGUGCGGCGAAGGCGGGUCAGCUGGGCCGACAUCUGACGCUGAGGCGACGAAAGCCAGGGAGGCGA